rnacentral:rRNA from 1 species
CCCUUAGAUGUUCUGGGCCGCACGCGCGCUACACUGACGAAUGCAACGAGCUUAUAACCUUGGCCGAAAGGUCUGAGUAAUCUCCAAAUUUCGUCGUGAUGGGGAUAGAUUAUUGCAAUUAUUAAUCUUCAACGAGGAAUGCCUAGUAAGCGCAAGUCAUCAGCUUGCGUUGAUUACGUCCCUGCCCUUUGUACACACCGCCCGUCGCUCCUACCGAUUGAAUGGUCCGGUGAAGCGUUCGGACCGUGGCCUUUGGACGGUUCGCCGUCUGUUGGCUGCGGGAAGUUCGUUAAACCUUAUCAUUUAGGGGAAGGAGAAGUCGUAACA